GACGAACGCUGGCGGCGUGCUUAACACAUGCAAGUCGAACGGAAAGGCCCUGCUUUUGUGGGGUGCUCGAGUGGCGAACGGGUGAGUAACACGUGAGUAACCUGCCCUUGACUUUGGGAUAACUUCAGGAAACUGGGGCUAAUACCGGAUAGGAGCUCCUGCUGCAUGGUGGGGGUUGGAAAGUUUCGGCGGUUGGGGAUGGACUCGCGGCUUAUCAGCUUGUUGGUGGGGUAGUGGCUUACCAAGGCUUUGACGGGUAGCCGGCCUGAGAGGGUGACCGGCCACAUUGGGACUGAGAUACGGCCCAGACGCAUACGGGAGGCAGGAGGGGGGAAUAUUGCACGAUGGGCGGAAGCCGGAUGCAGCAACGCCGCGUGCGGGAUGACGGCCUUCGGGUUGGAAACCGCUUUCGCCUGUGACGAAGCGUGAGUGACGGUAAUGGGUAAAGAGACACGGGCUAAUUACGU
rnacentral:rRNA from 1 species